rfam:Oryza sativa Japonica Group DNA, chromosome 5, cultivar: Nipponbare, complete sequence.
GUUGGGUUCCACCUCUAGAUUUCCGUGUCCAACUUUGACUGUCCGUCUUAUAUGAAAUUUUUUUAUAAUUUGUAUUUUCAUUGUUGUUAGAUGAUAAAACAUGAUUAAUAUUUUAUACGUGACUUGUCUUUUUAAUUUUUUUUUAUAAUUUUUUUAAAUAAGACGGACGGUCAAACGUUGGACACGGAAACCAUGGUUUGUCUUUUU